CUAGCGACUUCAGAGUUUGAUCCUGGCUCAGGAUGAACGCUGGCGGCGUGCUUAACACAUGCAAGUCGAACGAAGUGCUUUUGUUCAAUCCCUUCGGGGUGCGAACUUAAGUAUCUUAGUGGCGGACGGGUGAGUAACGCGUGGGUAACCUGCCUUAUGCAGGGGGAUAACAGUUAGAAAUGACUGCUAAUACCGCAUAAGCGCACAGUAUCGCAUGAUACAGUGUGAAAAGAUUUAUCAGCAUAAGAUGGACCCGCGUCUGAUUAGCUAGUUGGUGAGGUAACGGCUCACCAAGGCGACGAUCAGUAGCCGACUUGAGAGAGUGAUCGGCCACAUUGGGACUGAGACACGGCCCAA
rnacentral:rRNA from 1 species